UACGAAGGGGGCUAGCGUUGCUCGGAAUCACUGGGCGUAAAGGGCGCGUAGGCGGCCAUUCAAGUCGGAGGUGAAAGCCCAGGGCUCAACCCUGGAAUUGCCUUCGAUACUGUUUGGCUAGAGACCGGAAGAGGUAAGUGGAACUGCGAGUGUAGAGGUGAAAUUCGUAGAUAUCGGGAGGAACACCAAUGGCGAAGGCAGCUCGCUGGGACGUUACUGACGCUGAGACGCGAAAGCGUGGGGAGCAAACAGG
rnacentral:rRNA from 1 species